UGCACAAGCCCAGGGAGCCCGGGAGCAACGAAGGGCAGGCUCAAGGCAAGGCCCCACCAAGUCCUUUUGGGGGGGCCUUGAAAGGCAACUGAUACAUAAUAAGACACAAUCUAUUCUGCUGAUUCACAAUUAUGGAGACUGUGUAAUUGAAGAUACUCGAGAGACCUGGAAAUAAACCCUCCAAGGAAGAGAGGAUUUGCCCGCCUUUGGCUCUGAGUGCUCAUUGAACUUCUGUGCCCAACAUUGGGCCGUGAAGACACAACACCCAGCAGUUGUUUCAACAGUAACUUGAGGCCCAUCAGAUUUGAACAAAGGAA